AGCUUUGCGCGUGGCAAUAUCAUAGCCAAUGAGGUUAAUCUGGGGAGCAAUUAUUGCUAAUUCAAAACUUUUCCCAAUACCCUACCAUGAAGACUUGCAAUAUAGUCGGCAUUGGCAAUUUUUGACAGUCUCCACGGAGA
rnacentral:snRNA from 1 species